rnacentral:rRNA from 1 species
AACGGCCAUACCAUGCUGAAUAUACCGGUUCUCAUUAGAUCACCGAAGUCAAGCAUCAUUGGGCGCGGUCAGUACUUGGGUGGGUGACCACCUGGGAACACCGCGUGCCGUUU